rnacentral:misc_RNA from 1 species
GCUGCUCACACACGUGCCCCAUGCGCAGCGGUUUCCCGCGCCCCAACGGGUACGCCCUCUUGCGGGCUACGAGCGGGUUUCUCCAGGGGAAGAAGCGCUAGCGUCGCACAGGCGACGACUCCGCCGUUUUGCGAAGCUCCUCUACUCUCUGCGGAAAGGUGGCGCAGCACGCGCCGCCACAAACUCAAGAGGGGCCGCGGCGCUGCACAACAAUGCCGCCACCGCGCUGGGCAUGGUGGGGUGUGGCUGGGGCUCGGCCGGCUGCAAAGAAGGCUUGGUGAACAAACGCGCCGAAAGGUGGGGUGUGGCUGCUGUUGCGAGCGCGCUCUCCCUCCUCGCGGCGCUCGGUGGGGGCCGUGCGGGGGCGUGGGGCGGCGCAUUGCGACAUAUCUGGGCACGAAUGCUGGCGCCACCAGCCCGUCGCGUUCGCCUGUCAUUUCGCUCUGUCUUUGUCCAUUGUGCACCGGAACACGGCGGCGAAGCAUGCAAGUUUGCAAAAUCGACAUUGCCAGAGGCGCCGGCGCAAGACGCCAGACCGACAUCCCGCGAAACCGUGCUACGUGAUGCGACGUUCCACGACAAGAGCUUCUUCACGGCAGCUGUCGCACACCAGGGGGGGUACGGCUGCUGAGCCUACGGGUCGGUGGGGGACUCUCCUCCCCCAGUUCCGCUCGGGCAUCUGUCCGCACUCUGGGUUCGCGGGGCGGCGGGUGGCUGGCAGCGGCGCCGUAUGGGGUGCGGGCGGUGCAUUGCCCAGUGCUGCGCUGGCGCUGUGGUGCCCACCCGCGUUUGCCAUGAGAGUGUCUGGCAAGGCGCUUUUCCCGCUGCGCCAGGCGGGGCUCGCGCAUCGCUCGGGGGCUCGGGGCACACUCGGUUUCACGCGGUGAUCCUGCACACGGUGGCCUGAUUACGUUCACCUCGCUCUCGCUGCAUGGGCUUCCCCGCCGGGUGCCCAUCGCUGCUCCCCCGCGCUCUCUCGGGGGUGCUGGCGACGGGUUCUUUGUGCGCCGCCGCCUCUGCAUCCGCGGGCCCCUUCCGCCUGGCCCGCCCACUCAUGUCAAAGGGGUUUGGAUCCAGCGGCGGGCGGAGUGCCCCCUGCUGCCGCAGCGCCCCAGCUAUCGCGGCGUAUGCGGUCCAGCCAUCCAGACACGCCCCCCCCCCCUGGCAUUGGGGGGGGAACGGAGGAUGACGGCAGGGAACCUCCCCUCCAGACAGCAACGCCGCGCUGUGAAGCCGGCCCCCGGUUCCGAAGAAUUGGAGCACUGUGCGCGCGCGCCGCCAAGCACAGACGGCAAUGGCGUAUCACACCCGAGCAAGUCAUGCGGAGGCCAGAGGGGCAAGGGUGUUGGACGAAAAGUGCGCGAAGCGAUCCAUGCCGGCGCACCCCACAGUGCAUGUGCGCAGCAUGUGCGGUAUCCCCAUCCGACCGGUGUGGGCUGAUUGCGGCACAGGUGCGGGAGGCAUGACGAGAACACCCCGAGCUGCACUACCGAGCCCACCGGACCCCAAUGUGAAGAGCCCUUGCACCAUGCUAUGGGAUGCAGCGGCUUUAGGCCACUCAGUGAGAAGCAUGGCGCGCAGGCAGGGCAGAGGGUCUCAGAGGGUCCUGACCUGAGGCUGGCCAGCUUGCCCCGAGUUCAUCCGGCAUACACCUGGACCAAACCAUGCUCCCCGCACGCCAGACGCCGCCGCCGGCGCCCUCGAGGGCAGGACGCUGGGCUCGGCCUGCGUGGGUCGAAGCGCGUCGUCCACCCAGGCCCGUCUGGCGCCGGAGGUCCAGCACACACAUGAGGAAGGACGAGAAGGGUUCGUUAGAAGAAUGGGCCGGCUCACCGGCGGAUGGUUCGCCCUAGACGACCAGGGUGGAGCCGCAGUGCGAGAGAGGCUGAUGAACGGUGUUUGCGCGCGUAAUGUUUCUUGACUUUCUCCUAGUAGCGUGGACACGAAGUGAAAAGGAAAUGUUGCUUGUAGAGUGGAAGUCAGACGAUGUUCUCGUAUUAUCAGCUUUUAUGCAUUAAUGAGGAUGCAAAGGAUUUGGAAAGGAUAGAUUGGCAGACUUUUUCGGAACUCAAACUCUUCUGCCAGCUACACAAGGCUACACCCGCAUUUUUCCAUUUGAAAUUGGUGCUGUUGUUUUCAGUCGGUUCUGAUGGCUCAAAUCUGGAGAUAUGAAAAUCUAACAGAACUAUUCAGUAUUUGGAGUGACGCAUUGAAGAUGUGGGACUGAGGAUGGCUUUCUGCAGUUUUCAUCAUCUUAUCUGCGAGUGCCGGCUUUUGAGCCUCGAAAAACAGUUGCGAGCACUGGAGCACUUCACAUUGUUCGUCGAUCCUCGGGAUACGAGCUGCUAGACUGUCUUCGUCUUGUGCGUUGUUUCCUCCCUUUCGUGGAAUCGAAGCGCGUUCUUGGUAGUCGUUCGAUUUUUUUUCCCAAUGCUGUGCCUGAUUUUUGUCAGCACUUGAUAAUCUGAUUACAGCGUAUCCGCGAAAUUACUCGCCCAGCUUACACUCGCAUCCGUUCUUUGGGCGAGCCUCUUGCAAGCUGUUGCGCUAGCUCAUCAGGGCCUUUUUUCGCGAGAGGUAACUGGAUGCUCUUGAGUAAGUAUUUCGCUUUUUUCUACAAUGAUAUUGAGGUCAAGUGUCUCUGAUUUUUUUUGAAACCUAGUGUGACGUGAUUUUUUUUUGCAGUCUGCACGAUCUCCCGAAUGAUGAGGAUUCCCUCAGCGUGGUUUCAGGGCCCGGUGCUCCACUCUAUAGGCAAUCCAAGCAGUCCCAUAUACCUUCCAAUGCCGAGCUACUUCCGGUGGCGGCAGGCUCAGGCCCCCACGUCGUGGGGAAGUCAGAGCGAUGUAUUGCUGCUGAUUUCAGUGGCCAUCUCCUGGCGUGGGCCUCAUCUGAGAGUCCUGCAACAGUGAACACGUUUGUGCCAUGCAUGUGAUAGGCAGAGCGUCAGCGUGGCUCGAACGCAUCUCGCCCAGCUCUCAGAAUGACACCUUGAAAGAAAAAAAAUAUCGCCUAGUAGGUGCACCACUUUAAAAUCGAAAAACGCCUUGUUCCUAAUAGCGUUGCUGCAAGUGUAUUGAGGGACAUCGUUUGCCGACACAUAAUAGCACGGGCAGGGUUCAAGGGAAGUCAGUGAUUCCUUUCCAAGACUGCAUAACGCCGUGUUCGGCCUCUUUAUCAAAGCAAGCUGGAUGAUUGCUCGUCACCAGGUUCACCGAUUUGAAAUCAUCGAAAGCUUCGACUGCUUUUUAAAGGGGCACUGAGCCACACAUUGGGCUGCCCUGCCACCGGCAUGCUUUAUUUGCUAGAAUGGCGUUUAGCUGAGGGUAAACGGGUGCGUUUAUUGAUGGUUCUCUCUAAAGCUUUAUGGCGCCAGAAUGACCGCCUAAGGUGUGAUGCAAAAAGGUGUACGACUGACUUGUGUGUGUCCUGCGGAAAGGUGCUUGAGGAAUCUCCUGCAAGCAGUUGCCGAGGCGAUGCAACGGAACAAGUGGAUUGUCGCGUGCUUUGGAGGUGUUGCUCAACAGCGCUUUGCGAGCCCCACCAACUACACUAGGCGAGAGCUUCUUCCUUUUUGCUGGAGAAUGACACCAUCGGCAAGAUCGCAUGUGUAUUUUUGUUGCGAUUUGAGUGGAGAAUGCCUGAGUAAAUAUAGCUCUGUUGUAUUUGUGGAGGGCUUGCUACAGUGGCACAAAUCGGGGCAUUUGAUGCUGUUAAACAGAGAUCUGUCCGUGAGGCGCAUGAAGCCCAAGGCUCUCGGCCUUGCGGUUGGAAUAGCUGAACGGCUGAUGUCAAAGUGAAGGUUUUCAUCGGGGAAGGCUUACUUUAGCCAAGACUUCUAUGACACCUCUAUUCCAACCGCAGCUCUUUUUCUUGGUCAAUGUACCAACCGGGUCGACCUCGUACAGAGACGUGAGUGUUCUGACCCUGGGACCCGCCAUUGGUUAUGAUGUGAAAACCAUUUCGCAUUAUGGGAGAGGAGCCAAUGACUAGAAAGUUGCUGAGAUGAAGGAGCGCUGAUCGACUUCGGGUUAUUGGGGAGUUGUAUGUGAGGCAAGGCAACAGUGGCUGCAGGCGAAAUGCUGAUUUCGUUCCUGUCCACAGCGUAUGCUUCUCCACGAGUGUUGUCCGCGUGGAACGGGCUCCACAGUGUUUGGCUCUGUUACCUGGUCUUCGAGUGCACAUUCACUCCUGAACGUUGAGCUUUUGUGGGCUUCAGUCAUAACUGGGCUUUGUGCUAUAUGCCUUGAUGGGCCGAUAACGUGGCUUUUUCGAGUUUGAUGUUGUAUUUUUCAACACCGGGUGCUUGACAAAAGCUACUAGCGUGCAAGCUACGCGACCCACUGCCAAACAGGGCGACAAGGAGCCAGAAAGUGACUUGAUGCACGACUGUGUCGAUCUCCUGCAGAGUUUUUUCAAUGCAUCUGCUUAGAGUUUCGGAAAGUGUUUCUCUUCUGUUACCCUUAUUUAAUUCUGCAGGGCUAUGUGCAAUAGUGCCACAUUCUCUUAUUUAAAUCAAGUUUAGCUGCGA